rnacentral:rRNA from 1 species
UGAAAUUCGUAGAUAUUAGAAAGAAUACCAAUUGCGAAGGCAGCUUUCUGGAUCAUUACUGACACUGAGGAACGAAAGCAUGGGUAGCGAAGAGGAUUAGAUACCCUCGUAGUCCAUGCCGUAAACGAUGUGUGUUAGACGUUGGAAAUUUAUUUUCAGUGUCGCAGGGAAACCGAUAAACACACCGCCUGGGGAGUACGACCGCAAGGUUAAAACUCAAAUGAAUUGACGGGGACCCGCACAAGUAGUGGAGCAUGUGGUUUAAUUCGAAGAUACGCGCAGAACCUUACCAACACUUGACAUGUUCGUCGCGACUCUAAGAGAUUAGAGUUUUCGGUUCGGCCGGACGAAACACAGGUGCUGCAUGGCUGUCGUCAGCUCGUGUCGUGAGAUGUUGGGUUAAGUCCCGCAACGAGCGCAACCCUCACUUUUAGUUGCCAUCAUUAAGUUGGGCACUCUGAAAGAACUGCCAGUGAUAAGCUGGAGGAAGGUGGGGAUGACGUCAAGUCCUCAUGGCCCUUACGUGUUGGGCUACACACGUGCUACAAUGGCAUCUACAACAGGAAGCAAAACGGCAACGUUAAGCAAAUCCCGAAAAGAUGCCUCAGUUCGGAUUGCACUCUGCAACUCGAGUGCAUGAAGCUGGAAUUACUAGUAAUCGUGGAUCAGCGUGCCACGGUGAAUGCGUUCCCGGGCCUUGUACACACCGCCCGUCACACCAUGGGAGUUGGUUCUACCUUAAGGCAAGGUUUUAAACCCUUGACCACGGUAUAGUCAGCGACUGGGGUGAAGUCGUAACAAGGUAACCGUA